rnacentral:lncRNA from 1 species
GAAUAUUUCAUAUAGCAAUAGCACGAUAUAUAGCAGAGCGUGAGAAGAAGGAAUUGCUGCUCAAGUUGCUAGAAUGGAUGACGGGUCAAGGUUAUGUUGUUGAUUCAUCAACAAGAAACCUGAUACUCAAAAACUCACACUUAGCGUGAGAAGAAGGAAUUGCUGCUCAAGCUGCUAGAAUGGAUGACGGGUCAAGGUUAUGUUGUUGAUUCAUCAACAAGAAACCUGAUACUCAAAAACUCACACUUAUUCGGACGGCAACUCAUUGCUGAUAUACUGUCCAAGCAACAUAUGAAGUCAAAAUCGUCAAGAACUCUGAAAGAAUGAGCAAUUUGAUAUUAAUUAAUGCUGGAGUUCUAGAUAAAGAAA